UACGGAGGAUGCAAGCGUUAUCCGGAAUGAUUGGGCGUAAAGCGUCCGCAGGUGGCUGUGUAAGUCUGCUGUUAAAGAGUCAUGCUCAACAUGAUAAGAGCAGUGGAAACUACACGGCUAGAGUGCGUUCGGGGCAGAGGGAAUUCCUGGUGUAGCGGUGAAAUGCGCAGAUAUCAGGAGGAACACCGGUGGCGAAGGCGGGUCUCUAGGCCGACACUGACGCUGAGGAGCGAAAGCGUGGGGAGCGAACAGG
rnacentral:rRNA from 1 species